rnacentral:rRNA from 1 species
AUUGAACGCUGGCGGCAGGCCUAACACAUGCACGUCGAGAGGAGCGGCGGACGGGUGAGUAAUGCCUAGGACUCUGCCUGGUAGUGGGGGAUAACGUCCGGCAACGGGCGCUAACACCGCAUACUAUCAGAUGAGCCUAGGUCGGAUUAGCUAGUUGGUGGGGUAACGGCCUACCAAGGCGACGAUCCGUAACUGGUCUGAGGGGAUGAUCAGUCACACAGUAACGUGGACACGGUCCCGACUCGUACGCGAGGCAGCAGUGGGGAUGAUUCGAAAAUGGGCUCAAGCCUGAGCCAGCCAUGCCGCGUGUGUGAAGAAGGUCUUCGGAUUGUAAAGCACUUUAAGUUUGGAGGCGUUACCAACAGAAUAUGCACCGGCUGGCUGCGUGCCAGCCGCCGCGGUAAUAC